UACGGGGGGCNGCAGUGGGGAAUAUUGCACAAUGGGCGCAAGCCUGAUGCAGCCAUGCCGCGUGUAUGAAGAAGGCCCUAGGGUUGUAAAGUACUUUCAGUCGGGAGGAAGGCGUUGAUGCUAAUAUCAUCAACGAUUGACGUUACCGACAGAAGAAGCACCGGCUAACUCCGUGCCAGCAGCCGCGGUAAUACGGAGGGUGCAAGCGUUAAUCGGAAUUACUGGGCGUAAAGCGCACGCAGGCGGUUGAUUAAGUUAGAUGUGAAAUCCCCGGGCUUAACCUGGGAAUGGCAUCUAAGACUGGUCAGCUAGAGUCUUGUAGAGGGGGGUAGAAUUCCAUGUGUAGCGGUGAAAUGCGUAGAGAUGUGGAGGAAUACCGGUGGCGAAGGCGGCCCCCUGGACAAA
rnacentral:rRNA from 2 species